GAUGAACGCUGGCGGCGUACCUAAUACAUGCAAGUCGAACGAAACUUCUUUAUCACCGAGUGCUUGCACUCACCGAUAAAGAGUUGAGUGGCGAACGGGUGAGUAACACGUGGGCAACCUGCCCAAAAGAGGGGGAUAACACUUGGAAACAGGUGCUAAUACCGCAUAACCAUAGUUACCGCAUGGUAACUAUGUAAAAGGUGGCUAUACUACCGCUUUUGGAUGGGCCCGCGGCGCAUUAGCUAGUUGGUAGGGUAAAGGCUUACCAAGGCAAUGAUGCGUAGCCGAAUUGAGAGGUUGAUCGGCCACAUUGGGACUGAGACACGGCCCAAACUCCUACGGGAGGCAGCAGUAGGGAAUCUUCCACAAUGGGCGAAAGCCUGAUGGAGCAACGCCGCGUGGGUGAAGAAGGUCUUCGGAUCGUAAAACCCUGUUGUUAGAGAAGAAAGUGCGUGAGAGUAACUGUUCACGUUUCGACGGUAUCUAACCAGAAAGCCACGGCUAACUACGUG
rnacentral:rRNA from 1 species